rnacentral:rRNA from 1 species
AUGAGGCGGGGACAGGUGAAGGAGCAGGCUGGUCCUCGUGGAGGCGGCGCCGCCGGCCAGGGGCCAUUCACCGUCGCUGGCCUCACUCACCUCGUCUAUUCUCUCGUCACCAACUCGACAAUGGAGGAUGGGACAAGCAUGCCGGUGGCCAGCCAGUGGAGCCCCACCACAGGUGGUGAGAUUUUUCUCUGCUGUCUUCUUACUCUGGGGCGUGCCCUGGAAGAACUCACCCACACCAGCCAAGGCAAUGGCAGCAUCGGUGGCACGAGAGGAAGGAUGGGAAUCAGCUACUUGCAUUCGCACAGAGGAGGCAAUGUCGACGCGAUGGCACAGCAGAGGAGGCUGGGCUCGUUGUGGAGCUUCUUGAGGCAGCAGGAUGUCGGUGAGAGCAUCGCUGCCGGCAAUGGCUUGAGUGACCUCUUGAGGAUCUUCUCCAUGAGCACAUGUGACGACACCAACUCCAACGUCAUCUUCUCAGCGCCCGGCAGCAAGAAGGCCGAGGUGCUCGGCGACAGCGAUGUCGGCAUGGUCACCAGCUUCAGCAACAUCGACUCCCAGAUUCAGUUAGCCCUCUCGAGCUGGACAUGCCCAGCAUGGACGACUACCUGCAGCUGCAGCAGGACUCCGCCGACUGCAGAGUCCACGCCAAGCAUGGCUGCACCACUGACCCGCAGAGCAUCGCUUGGGAGGGAAAGAAGAACAAGGACCAAUAAGAGGCUAAGGAGGCUGCAAGACCUCAUUCCCUACAUGGACAAGGUCACAAGUAAGCCAAGGUGGAGGUUGGGAAACAAAGAACUUGCCCAACUGUGGAAAUGGGCAGAACUAAACCCUGAUAAGCCGACACCUAAUAAGGAUCAGGAGAACAACAGAUAUGCUAAGAGACAACCUUUUGGGGUUAAGGAUAUAAACAACAACAGGGCUUAUGAGGCCGAAGAAAGCUCAAGUGGCGUCUUUUGGUUCUUGAAGACCUGCACGUUCCUGGUGGAGUAG